UUUCAUAUGGUGUAAAGCACAUUCUCUUUUGGUGGGAAAAGAUAAUUGAAAA
rnacentral:tRNA from 1 species